CACGACUGGGAUUGCCAACUGUAGUAAAGUUGUUUACUUUAUAAGAUUAUUUUAUCAUGUCUCUUCAGUUCUUUCUUUCUCUAUGAAAAUCACAUUUAUCCCUUACGAAAACUACAUCGAGCCAUAAGGAAGUUUAUCAUCUCCAUUAAUAACGAGAUCCCUAAAAACAUGUCAUAUCCAACUUGUUAACCAUCAUAUCAUCUCCAUUUCAUAACCAUCAUGUCUUUUCCAACUCGUUCUUCAAUAUACAAGGUCGAACUCCAUUCAUAUCUUC
rnacentral:lncRNA from 1 species